rnacentral:tRNA from 1 species
GCCUGGGUGGCUCAGUUGGUUAAGCAUCUGACUUCAGCUCAGGUCAUGAUCUCACAGUUUGUGAGUUCGAGACCCGCGUCAGGCU